AUGAACGCUGGCGGCGUGCCUAAUACAUGCAAGUCGAGCGAACAGACGAGGAGCUUGCUCCUCUGACGUUAGCGGCGGACGGGUGAGUAACACGUGGAUAACCUACCUAUAAGACUGGGAUAACUUCGGGAAACCGGAGCUAAUACCGGAUAAUAUAUUGAACCGCAUGGUUCAAUAGUGAAAGACGGUUUUGCUGUCACUUAUAGAUGGAUCCGCGCCGCAUUAGCUAGUUGGUAAGGUAACGGCUUUCCAAGGCAACGAUGCGUAGCCGACCUGAGAGGGUGAUCGGCCACACUGGAACUGAGACACGGUCCAGACUCCUACGGGAGGCAGCAGUAGGGAAUCUUCCGCAAUGGGCGAAAGCCUGACGGAGCAACGCCGCGUGAGUGAUGAAGGUCUUCGGAUCGUAAAACUCUGUUAUUAGGGAAGAACAAAUGUGUAAGUAACUAUGCACGUCUUGACGGUACCUAAUCAGAAAGCCACGGCUAACUACGUG
rnacentral:rRNA from 1 species